AUCAACUUUCUAUGGUAGGAUAGAGGCCAACCAUGGUGGUAACGGGUAACGGGGUGUUAGGGCACGACCCCGGAGAGGGAGCCGGACAAACGGGUACCACAUCCAAGGAAGGCAGCAUGCGCGCAAAUUACCCAAUCCCGACACGGGGAGGUAGUGACAUUAAAUAACAAUACAGGGUUCUUUUGGAUCUUGUAAUUGGAAUGAGUACAAUUGAAAUCUCUUAACGAGGAACAAUUGGAGGGCAAGUCUGGUGCCAGCAGCCGCGGUAAUUCCAGCUCCAAUAGCGUAUAUUAAAAUUGUUGCAGUUAAAAAGCUCGUAGUUGAAUUUCGGGAUCAAUAUUUCGGUCAUGCCGUUGGUAUGCACUGUUAUCAUUGAUUUCUCACCUUCUAAAGAACCGUAAUGCCAUUAAUUUGGUGUUACGGGGAAUUAGGACUGUUACCUUGAAAAAAUUAGAGUGUUUAAAGCAGGCUCACGCUUGAAUACAUUAUCAUGGAAUAAUGAAAUAGGACAUCCGAUUCUAUUUUGUUGGUUUCUAGGAUCGAUGUCAUGAUUAAUAGGGAUAGUUGGGGGCAUUAGUAUUCAAUUGUCAGAGGUGAAAUCUUGGAAUUUUUUGAAGACUAACUACUGCGAAAGCAUUUUGCCUGGGAUGUUUUUCAUUUAAUCAAGAACUAAAUUACGGGAUCCGAAUACGAUCAGAUACCGUCCUAGUCUUAACCCUAAACUAUGCCUACCUAGGGAUCGGAUGAUGUUAUUUUUUUAUGACUCAUUCAGCCCCUUUCGGGGAAACCAAAGUGGUUUGGGUU
rnacentral:rRNA from 1 species